CCUACGGGAGGCAGCAGUGAGGAAUAUUGGUCAAUGGGCGCGAGCCUGAACCAGCCAAGUAGCGUGAAGGAUGACUGCCCUAUGGGUUGUAAACUUCUUUUAUAUAGGAAUAAAGUGAGCCACGUGUGGCUUUUUGUAUGUACCCUAUGAAUAAGGAUCGGCUAACGCCGUGCCAGCAGCCGCGGUAAUACGGAGGAUCCGAGCGUUAUCCGGAUUUAUUGGGUUUAAAGGGAGCGUAGGUGGGUUGUUAAGUCAGUUGUGAAAGUUUGCGGCUCAACCGUAAAAUUGCAGUUGAAACUGGCAGCCUUGAGUACAGUAGAGGUAGGCGGAAUGCGUGGUGUAGCGGUGAAAUGCUUAGAUAUCACGAAGAACUCCGAUUGCGAAGGCAGCUUACUAGACUGCAACUGACAUUGAGGCUCGAAAGUGUGGGUAUCAAACAGGAUUAGAUACCCGUGUAGUC
rnacentral:rRNA from 1 species